GUGCGCAUUUUAGCAGCACAUAUGCUAAAAUUGAAAUAAUACAGAGAAGAUUAGUAUGGUUUCUGGGCAAGAAUGACACGUAAAAUGUAACCAGGGUUCUUUACAGAUUUUU
rnacentral:snRNA from 1 species